rnacentral:lncRNA from 1 species
GGAUUACAGGCGUGAGACACCACACCUGACCUGAAAAGACAUUUUCUUGGGAGGAUCAGAAAAUAAUUUUGUUUCUAAUUUCACAGAGUUUUCUGGGGUUUUUUAUUUUUUAUUUUGUUUGUUUAUUUAUUUUUAAGACAGUAUCUCACUCUGUCACCCAGGCUGGAGUGCAGUGAUGCAAUGUCAGUGUACUGCAACCUCCACUUCCUGGGUUCAAGCGAUCCUCCCGCUUCAGCCUCCCAAGUAGCUGUGACUACAGGCACACCACCAUGCCUGGCUAAUUUCUGGAUUUUGUUGUUAUUGUUGUUGAUGUUUUGUAGGGAAGGGGUUUUGCCAUGUUGCCCAGCCCGCUCUUGAACUCCUGAGCUCAAGCAAUCCUCUACCAUGGGCCUCCCAAAGCCCUGAAAUCACAGGCAAUGAGCCACCAUGCCCAACCUCACAGUUUUCUAUAAGCCUAAUUGUAUUCACUUGUGUUCACCCGACCUUCCUUCUACACACACUUCCAGAUGUUGAAAUAGCUACCUGUAACGAACAUCGACAAUGUGCUAAAGGUUUUACGUUAACGGUUUCGUUGAACCUGCAAAACAGCCCCAUGAGGUCCAUGCUAUUAUCAUCACCCCACUGUGGAAACAGGAAGACUGAGACCUAGAGAAGUCCUGUAUCACCAGGUCAACCUAGCAGGAAGCUUGCAUCUGAGCCCAGAGCUCAAGGUCAUAAUCAUUAUACUGUAUGACCUCCUUGCUUUUCUCACUCAAAACCUUCAGGGCCUUAAAGGAAACUACCAUCAAGGGCAGUUUAUGCUGGAACCAAAAAUGGUGGCCAGGGUUCUAUGCUGAGGAUCAGGGAGUCCAGAAUAAGGAACCAGCCGCACUUGAGUUUACCAUGUAAUUGGAGACAAGUCACCAGCUCCCAUUCUGCAUCCCCAUCAGGUUCUCAGAUGUAGCCCCCAUUACUUGUCCACCCUCAUGCCCUGCUUCUCUAUACCUUCUUCUUACAUGCCAGAAACAGCUAACUGCUCCUAGCUCCCUGUGCCCACUAAAUUCCUUGUGCUAUACUGCCUUGGCCCGAGUAGUUCCUGUCACCUCCCAUGCCUUUCCUACAUUCUCCACCUGAACUCAUUUUUCAAGUCUCUGCUACAAGGUCACUGUUGAGAGCUACUCAGAAUCUUGAGGAGGUCUAAUUUUAAAACAGAAUUAGAAAUGCAUCAGUGCAGGUAGAAGACAGAAAAUUGGGGAUGGGACACGUGCAGUGGCUCAUGCCUGUAAACUCAACACUUUGAGAGGCUGAGGUGAGAAGAAUGCUUGAGGCCAGGAGUUCAAGACCAGCCUGGGCAACACAGUUAAACCUUGUCUCUAAAUAAAAAAAUUAAAAAUUAAAAAAUUAAAUAUUCAAUAAAAAAUAAAAAUUAGGCCAGGCACAGUGGCUCAUGCCUGUAAUCCCAGCACUCGCCAAGGUGGGUGAAUCAUCUGAGGUCAGGAGUUCGAGACCAGCCUGGCCAACAUGGUGAAACCCCAUCUCUACUGAAAAUACAAAAAAAUUAGCCCAGUGUGGUGGCUCACACCUAUAAUCCCAGCUACUCAGGAAGCUGAGGCAGGAGAAUCGUUUGAACCCAGGAAGGGGAGGUUGCAGUGAGCCGAGAUCGCACCACUGCAUUCCCGCCUUGGUGACAGUGCGAGACUCUGUCUCAAAAAUAAAUAAAUAAAUACAUACAUACAUACAUACAUACAUACAAAAUAAAAAUGAGUGCAUAUUCUCCCUCCACAAAGCAAAACAUCUUGUUAGGACAUAGAUUUGUUUGGGUUGUCUAUUGCCAAGUGGCCAACUAUUCCAAAACUUAAUGGCUUAAUACAACAGUGCUUUAUUUUACUCACAAAUUUAUAGGUUGAGUAGGGCUCAGUGAAAACAGCUCAUCUCCAUUCGAGGUGGCACGCACUGGGGUAGCUAGAUGGAGAACUAAAUCAUAACUCGUAUGGCUGACAAGUUGGUGCUGUCUAUCAGCUGGGACCUCAGCCAGGGCUAUGGGCUGGGGACCUCAGUCUUCCUCACAUGGGCCUCUCCACAGGACAUUUGGGCUUCCUCACAGCAUGAUGGCUGGCUUCCAAGAUGGAGCACAAGGCAGAUGUGCAUGGCAUUUUUAUAAGCUAGGCUCAGAAGUCACAUACCAUCACUUCUACGUUCAGUUGGUCAAGACAGUCCCCAAGACCCAUCCAGAUUCACAGGGAGGGCACAAAAAUUACAACUCAAUGGGGAUGCCAAGGCCAUAGCACCGCAUGUGCGACAGGAGACCUUACUGUAAUCAUCUAUGGAAAAUACAAUCUGCCACAAUUUGCACAUGGCUUUUCAUAACCUCCAACUAAUUGUUUUAGAAUUUCUCAUUAUUUCCCACACCCUCUGAGAGGAGCCAAUGCCAGAAAGAAGCAACAUCCAGGUGACCCAGAAUAUUGGAUGCACAAUGGUGAACUUCCGGAUGUCUCAGGGAAUAUCAAAGGCUAUGGCAAAGCCCCAGGCAAGAUAAGAUCAAAAGCCUUUCCUUCUGCCUUUUUUGUUUUGUGGGUUGCCAUAGUGAUGGCAAGGGUAAAAUUUGAGAGGCAAUUGUAGACAUUAUGAUGAUAGUGGCUCUUACAAAAUCUGCACCUAAGUUCACCAACACACACACACACACACACAAACGCACACACACAUGGGAUCAGGGCAUGUAGAACCGAGUAUUGCAAGGACUGGUAUCCAAAAAAAAUGAAUUAAGUUUUCUAAAAUUCUGCUGGUUGUAAUGCGUCUGUCUUUUUAGCUGAUCUUGACACCCCAAAGACACAAAGCUACUAGGAUGGUAGGCUCCCUGGGAAUUCUUCUCUGCUCCUUCAAAUAAAGCUGUGUUCUGCCUCUCAGCUUCCAUAACCAGCUUGUUCUUAUCCUUGUCACAGCCUAUAUUGGUCUGCACUCUAAUCAGCUAUGCACCUGUCUGUCUCCUUCAUGGGAUGGAGAUGACUUGAGAAAAGGGACCCCCAUCACGUAGCACAAUGCCUAGUCACACAGCAGGUGCUCAACAGAUGUUGGGAAACUGACUUAACCAUCUCUAUCUCUUUCUUCCCGCAGUGCAUUUGUCAACUUAGCAUCUUCAUUGUUUUGGAUCCUUGAGGGACAUUGAACUGCUGUGAAGGGAGUGAGUGCUGUGACAGGGAAACUGAGGGACAAAAAUUGUCCUUGCCCAGAGACACACAACCAAGAUGUCAGACCAAGCUACAAACCCAAAAAGCCCUAAGACAGAAGCAUGAGAGCCUCAUCGUCUUCCUUCCUCACGAUGGUUAAAGAGAAAGCAGUGUCCCUCACUGGGCUCAGAGAAAAUGCUGAUGGCACAAGAGUGGAACUGUGAGACAGUUCCAGGGAAACAGAGACAAAGUGAAUGCAUGUUGUAAUGCUUCAUCUUUGGUGAACUUCACUGUGGGUCAGAAAAGAAGGAAUUCUUCAGGAGGAUGUUUGGAAGGUAGCCCUCCAGAAGCAAGUCCAAGGAGGAGACAGGAGAAGGAAUAAUGGCUCCCCACGGUCCUGUCCCAAGCCACAUUCCCCAUCUACUAGUUCCUCGCUGGAAUUUAAGGAAACAAGGAUGAAUUAGAGACAGGCCCAGCUCUGACAGAGCUCAGUGCAUAAUGAAGAACACAGAGGCACAAGCAACCUCAAUGCAGAUUCACAGGGUGCCAGGAGCACAGAGGAGGGGCAGCCACUGCAGUGGGACAGGGAAGGUCAACAAGGGCUGCAGAAGACCUUGACAUCAUACCUGAGUCCUGAUAUUUGGUGGGCCAAUGGAAAUUACCUGGGAAUAGCAAGGGGCAGAAAGGACAUUCCAGACAGAGGAAGCCACACACGCAAAACGCAGGAGGCCUGAUCCAGCAUGGGGGCUUCCACAAAAGCCCAUUUUACAGGAGAGAAAACUGAGGUUCACAGGAGUGAAGCAGCUCCCCACAAAGGCACAUUAAUAAUGAUAAAAGUAAAACUUCAGCCAAAUUAAAUGUAAAGGAGUUUAAUUCAGCAAUGAAUGAUCUGCGAACCGGGCAGCCCCCAGAACUGGAACAGAUUCUCAGAGACUCCAGCGCGGCCACGUGGUGGAAGAUUUAUAGACAAAAAAAAAAUGAAAAAGGGAAAUGACGUACAGAAAUCAACAGUGAGGUACAGAAACAGCUGGAUUGGUUACAGGUUGGCAUUUGCCUUAUUUAAACACAGUUUGAGCAUUUAACAGUCUAUGAGUGGUUGAAGUUCGGCCACUGGGAUUGGCCAAGACUCAGCUAUUGUUACAGGCACAUACUCCUAAAUGAGCUUUUCAAUCUUGUCUAUUAAGCUAGGUUACAGGUGGUGCACAAGGACUCAAACGUAGAAGUAUGAAGUCCUUCUCAGGCCAUAUGUAGUUUGCUUUAACAAUAAUAAGUGGCUGAGCACAGUGGCUCACACCUGUAAUCCCAGCACUUUGGGAGGCUGAAGUGAGUGGAUCAUCAGGUCAGGAGUUCGAGACCAGCCUAACACAGUAAAACCCCUUUCUACUAAAAAUACAAAAAUUAGCCAGGCGUGGUGGCAGGCGCCU